rnacentral:rRNA from 1 species
UGCAACGCGAAGAACCUUACCUGGUCUUGACAUCCCGGAGACCCUUAGGAAACUAGGGGGUGGCUUCCAUCUGGAAGAAUCUGGAGACAGGUGCUGCAUGGCUGUCGUCAGCUCGUGUCGUGAGAUGUUGGGUUAAGUCCCGCAACGAGCGCAACCCUUGCCUUUAGUUGCCAGCAGUUCGGCUGGGCACUCUAAAGGGACUGCCUACGCAAGUAGGAGGAAGGUGAGGACGACGUCAAGUCAUCAUGGCCCUUACGGCCAGGGCUACACACGUGCUACAAUGGGGUAUACAAAGAGCAGCGAUACGGUGACGUGGAGCAAAUCUAGAAAAUGCCUCUCAGUUCGGAUUGUAGUCUGCAACUCGACUACAUGAAGUUGGAAUCGCUAGUAAUCGUAGAUCAGCAAUGCUACGGUGAAUACGUUCCCGGGUCUU